rnacentral:rRNA from 1 species
CUACGGGUUGCUGCAGUGGGGAAUAUUGCACAAUGGGGGGAACCCUGAUGCAGCAACGCCGCGUGGAGGAUGACGCAUUUCGGUGUGUAAACUCCUUUUAUAUGUCAAGAAAAUGACGGUAGCAUAUGAAUAAGCACCGGCUAACUCCGUGCCAGCAGCCGCGGUAAUACGGAGGGUGCAAGCGUUACUCGGAAUCACUGGGCGUAAAGGACGCGUAGGCGGGUUGGAAAGUCAGGUGUGAAAACCUACAGCUUAACUGUAGAACUGCACUUGAAACUUCUAAUCUAGAGUAUGGGAGGGGGAGAUGGAAUUCGUGGUGUAGGGGUAAAAUCCGUAGAUAUCACUAGGAAUACCUAAAGCGAAGGCGAUCUCCUGGAACAUUACUGACGCUAAGGCGUGAAAGCGUGGGGAGCAAACAGGAUUAGAUACCCGGGUAGUC